rnacentral:rRNA from 1 species
UACGGGGGGGGCAAGCGUUGUUCGGAAUUACUGGGCGUAAGGGGCUCGUAGGCGGCCAACUAAGUCCGACGUGAAAUCCCCAGGCUUAACCUGGGAACUGCGUCGGAUACUGGAUGGCUUGAAUUCGGGAGAGGGAUGCAGAAUUCCAGGUGUAGCGGUGAAAUGCGUAGAUAUCUGGAGGAAUACCGGUGGCGAAGGCGGCAUCCUGGACCGACAUUGACGCUGAGGAGCGAAAGCUGAGGGGAGCAAACGGGG